GGGAGAGCGCGGAGUCCGGCAGGCUGAGAGCAGAGCCUGAGUGCGCCGCCGGUUCAGCCGGGCAGGGUCGCCUCGCGCCAGGAUGCUGCGCCCCGCCGCCCUGUCCAGCCAGCAACCCUGGCGCGACCCCGGGAAGAAGCACAGGUUCUUUCGUCCAGUCGCCGCUGGAGGACCGAAAGUUUUGCUCGCUGCAAGUCUCUUCCUCCCAGAGUCCCAGUCACCCACCAUGCGACGUCCCAGAAGGAUCCCGGAGGCUUAGUGGGAACGAAAUCGGCUGUUUUGCACCCCUCCAUCCUUAUCCCUCAGGGUAGAGCAGGGACUCUAGAGAGUACACCUCCCAGCUACCAUCCACUUCACCCUGUCUCCUCUCUCGGUGAGCCUUGGAAUCCGGUCUCUUCGCAGAUGCCUUCAGGAGUCAGAAGCAAAGGGGAAAUGGACAUAACUCCGAGAAACCGGUUUUAUUUCACAUUUAGAUACGGUUCUUCUGGUGAAGAUAGAAGGCAAAAAAAGUGAAUUUCGCCUGGAGUCCUUGGGAGACUGAGGCAGCAGGAUUAGUGAACGUCCAGCCUCAGCAACAGCUUUGCCACCAUGAGCUUCAUUGAUCACAUCCUACCACAACUAGGAGACCUAAACCUUGCUCACUGACAGCAUUUGAAGAUGCAAAUACUGCUAUGGAUUGGAAGGUGCCUGAGGAAUGAAAGGGGACAUAGCCAUUAUGACCCACCUCGUGAGAUUUUAGGGAAGAAAGACCAUAGUGAUUGCAUCUAUUAAGAAGCCCUUACUGACCUGCAUGGUGAGGCUCGUGUGAAAUUUCAGCAUGCGGGAGAUUGAGACAGAAGGAUCACAAGUUCAAGGCCACCCUAGGCUAUGUAUCAAGAACUUUUUUUGAACAAAGAAAAAAGAAACGGCAGUACAUAAUUUCUCCUAAGUAAGUAUUCUACCAUUCGGAUACUGAUCAACUAAAGGAAUUGUCUCAGUUAAUGUCAUGUCAUGUAACUGCCCCAGUUAGAUCAGCCUGGGGUAUCUCAGAGAAUAACAACCUCAUUUUCUAGAACCAGAAAAGCGGACUGGCUCCCCUUGCCUGAUAUGUAGAAGAUAAAUGACACAGGGGCCUGAGUGGGAUAGUGGCCACCCUGAAGCAGCCAAGGCUUGGGAGAAGAGAAAUCUGAUCUGAGCAGGACAUGCCUCGCUGAUAUAAAUAGAUGGUGACAUAGUGGCCCAGCACUGCAGGCAGGGGCAGUGGCUACCUUAACAACCAGCCUGAGACACAGAGAUGGUAGUUUCCCAUAGUGACAGCCUUCAGUGGACAGUGAGCAAAUCCCAAGGGUGGUCUAGAUAGGGGUGAGAGAAUUCUGCAGGGCCUCAGGACUACAAUCACAACACGAAGUCAUGUGACAUGGGUAAGAAGACAGAGUUUUCAGUUGGUCUGACUUCAAAGGGCUGGAGAUGAGGCUGUCAGCUGAGAGCUCCUGCUUGCCGAAGACCAUGGGCUGGAAUCCCUGUACUGCAUGGACCAGAUGUGGUGGCACAUGAAGGUCAAGGCUAUCCUCAACCACACAUGAGUUCAAGGUCAGCCUGGGAUACAUGCAAUCCUGUCUCAAAACAAAGAACAGUUCUUUCAAGAGGAAAUCUUAACAUUAAGGCUGUGCUGAUCCAAGGUGAGAAAGAUGAGUUUUUCAAGACUCCGUAACACUCAGUUACAACCACAUUAUAGAGACACUGAAGUUUCUCCUUUUGGUGGUCCCAGCACAAUCUCCAGCCCUGGGGAUUCAAAGACAGAGAGAAGGAAACAGUCACUCAGAUUAGGCAACCAAGUGUCUCAGAUACCAGGGGCCCGAGCUGGUCAAACCAAGAGCAAAAAUAACAGCUUCUCCUUGCACACCCAGAAGUAUUCUAGGUUAGAGAGUAAGUUCUCAGCCAACCCCAGUUCUGAGCUAUGUCCUCCAACUAUUGUGUUUGUGCUGCGAUUCCUUACUGGCUAAAAAAGGAUAUCCUGGCUAAAGAAUAAUUGCCAGAAUCACACAGCACCUGUUUGAAGUAGUCAGAUUUUCCCUCUUGCAUAGAGAACAAUUGUUAUCCAAAUUUUUUUUCAUAGGAAGAAAAAUCCUAAAUGAGAACAAUCUGCCUAAAAUAAAUGUUAGAAUUUUGAUAUGUUGGUAGCCUAUUGCUAUCCACACAUUAUCUCUCUAUCAUCUACCUGUCAAUCAUCUUUAUAGGCAUUUAGAUCCCUCCCCAUUCUGCAAACUAAAAUACUUAACUUAUUAGAAAAUCCAUAGCUACAUAUAUGAAUAUGAACAUACUAUAUAUUUUUAUAUACUUAUAUACAUAUACCAUCAUAGUUAAUAUAGAGUGGUGGUUUGAAUAUGCUUGGCCAAUGGGAAGUGACACUAUUAGGAGGUGUGGUAUUAUUGGAGAAGGUGUGGCCUUGUUAGAGGAAGUGUGUGUGUGGGGGGGUGUUGAGACUCUUAUUCUCAGGCUCUGCCCAAUAUGAAAGAGAGUCUUCUGGCUGCCUUCAAAUCAAGAUGUAGAACCCUCGACUCUUCUGGGACCAUGUUUGCCUACACACUGCCAUAUUUCCUGCCAUGAUGAUAAUGGAUUGAACCUCUGAAACUGUAAGCCAGCCACAGUGAAAUGUUUUUUUUUAUAAGA
rnacentral:lncRNA from 1 species